rnacentral:rRNA from 1 species
AUACGGAGGGUGCAAGCGUUAUUCGGAAUCACUGGGCGUAAAGGACGCGUAGGCGGGUUGGCAAGUCAGAUGUGAAAUCCUACAGCUUAACUGUAGAACUGCAUUUGAAACUGCUAACCUAGAGUAUGGGAGGGGGAGAUGGAAUUAGUGGUGUAGGGGUAAAAUCCGUAGAUAUCACUAGGAAUACCGAAAGCGAAGGCGAUUUCCUGGAACAUAACUGACGCUAAGGCGUGAAAGCGUGGGGAGCAAACAGGAUUAGAUACCCCAGUAGUCC